rnacentral:rRNA from 1 species
UACCUCGCCGCUUAAUUGGCGGCUUGCAUGAAUGGCGUAACGACUUUCCCACUGUCCCUACUUAGGACCUAGUGAAAUCACCGCCCGGUGAAGACGCCGGGGACUUCCAGAGGGAAUUUGACCUAAUUGAUUUUUUUACUAAUUAGCGUCAGCCCUAAACGAAGACUCCAUGGAGCUUUACUAUAGCCUGAUGUUGUGAUAGCGAGUCUACUACCAAGAGUAAGUGGGAGCGGUUAUGUUGCAACUCCUGGGUUGCAAAUACGCGAAAGUGUUACACCACUUAGUAGAUUUGUUAUCGCUUACUCGAAAGAGGACAGCGUUUGGUGGAUAGUUUGGCUGGGGCGGUACGCCCUCGAAAAAGAAACAAGGGCGCCCAAUGCUCUGCUCAUUCCGGUCAGAAAUCGGAAGUAGAGGGUUAACAACAAAUGCAGGGCUGACUGUGUCGCUAAAAGCGUGGGACGCAGAGACGAAAGUCGGGUGUAACGAACCUUGAAACCUUUUUGAUGAGGGUUCAAGCUGUCAGACAAGCUACCCUGGAGGUAACAGGCUCGUCGCGGGUGAGAGUACACUAAACGUGUAUCUUAAGGUGCUUCGGCAUUCCCAAUUGUUCGAAUGUUUUCGAACAAUGGGCGCAUUGUCGUGAAAACGACAAUUGCGUUAGGAUCUAGAAAUCGCAAGAUUUCUGGAAAAUUCUCACUCUGUGAUCGACCUUUUCAAUAAAACUCUCUAAAUUGCGGAUCGCAUCACUGCGGUUCGUCUAAUUAAUGUUUUAAAAUUUGAACAGUUCGCUGUUCGGAUGAAAAGGAUAGAUAUUAGGUCACAGAUUGGUAGCCUUCGGGCUACCGGAAUUAAGGGACUCAUGCUUUGCAUGACCCUGACGUUUAUAUAAAUCGACCCCGCGGUUUGGUACAUCGCUGUCGGCUUGGGAUAUCCUGGUCGUGUAGGAGCGACCAAGGGUUGGGUUGUUCAUCCAUUAAAAUCCCACAUGAGCUGGGUUCAGUACGUCGCGAGACAGUACGGUAGUAUCUCCUGGAAGUGUUGAUCCUUGAGAGCAAGAUUCCCUGAGUACGAGAGGAACGGGGAAUCGGAGCCACUGGUAUACCGGUUGUAAUUGCACUGCCGGGCAGCUACGCUCCAUGUUGAUAAGAUCUGAAAGCAUCUAAGAUCGAAGCAACUCUUAAAACUAGGGAUCAAAGUCCGCCUAUAGUAGAUAGGUUUGAUAGAAUCAGGGUGUAAGCAGUAAGCUCACGCGAGCUGUUCAGCCUGUGAUUACUAAAGGAAUAUCUUGAAUUAAU